CCUACGGGCGGCAGCAGUGGGGAAUAUUGGACAAUGGGGGGAACCCUGAUCCAGCCAUGCCGCGUGUGUGAAGAAGGCCCUCGGGUUGUAAAGCACUUUCAGUGAGGAAGAACGCCUGGUGGUUAAUACCCAUCAGGAAAGACAUCACUCACAGAAGAAGCACCGGCUAACUCCGUGCCAGCAGCCGCGGUAAUACGGAGGGUGCGAGCGUUAAUCGGAAUUACUGGGCGUAAAGCGCGCGUAGGUGGCUUGAUAAGCCGGUUGUGAAAGCCCCGGGCUCAACCUGGGAACGGCAUCCGGAACUGUCAAGCUAGAGUGCAGGAGAGGAAGGUAGAAUUCCCGGUGUAGCGGUGAAAUGCGUAGAGAUCGGGAGGAAUACCAGUGGCGAAGGCGGCCUUCUGGACUGACACUGACACUGAGGUGCGAAAGCGUGGGUAGCAAACAGGAUUAGAUACCCGAGUAUC
rnacentral:rRNA from 1 species